GUUCUGUAAGCCUGCGAAGGUGUGCUGUGAGGCAUGCUGGAGGUAUCAGAAGUGCGAAUGCUGACAUAAGUAACGAUAAAGCGGGUGAAAAGCCCGCUCGCCGGAAGACCAAGGGUUCCUGUCCAACGUUAAUCGGGGCAGGGUGAGUCGACCCCUAAGGCGAGGCCGAAAGGCGUAGUCGAUGGGAAACAGGUUAAUAUUCCUGUACUUGGUGUUACUGCGAAGGGGGGACGGAGAAGGCUAUGUUGGCCGGGCGACGGUUGUCCCGGUUUAAGCGUGUAGGCUGGUUUUCCAGGCAAAUCCGGAAAAUCAAGGCUGAGGCGUGAUGACGAGGCACUACGGUGCUGAAGCAACAAAUGCCCUGCUUCCAGGAAAAGCCUCUAAGCAUCAGGUAACAUCAAAUCGUACCCCAAACCGACACAGGUGGUCAGGUAGAGAAUACCAAGGCGCUUGAGAGAACUCGGGUGAAGGAACUAGGCAAAAUGGUGCCGUAACUUCGGGAGAA
rnacentral:rRNA from 1 species